UACGAAGGGGGCUAGCGUUGUUCGGAAUUACUGGGCGUAAAGCGCACGUAGGCGGACAUUUAAGUCAGGGGUGAAAUCCCAGAGCUCAACUCUGGAACUGCCUUUGAUACUGGGUGUCUUGAGUAUGGAAGAGGUGAGUGGAAUUCCGAGUGUAGAGGUGAAAAUUCGUAGAUAUUCGGAGGAACACCAGUGGCGAAGGCGGCUCACUGGGUCCG
rnacentral:rRNA from 1 species